rnacentral:rRNA from 1 species
GAGUUUGAUCCUGGCUCAGGAUGAACGCUGGCGGUAUGCUUAAUACAUGCAAGUCGUACGAGAGCUUUUAGCUCUAGUGGCGGACGGGUGAGUAACACGUGAGAAUCUGCCCUUAGGAGGAGGAUAACAGCUGGAAACGGUUGCUAAUACUCCAUAUGCCGAGAGGUGAAAGGAUUUAUCCACCUAAGGAGGAGCUCGCGUCUGAUUAGCUAGUUGGUAGGGUAAUAGCCUACCAAGGCGACGAUCAGUAGCUGGUUUGAGAGGAUGAUCAGCCACACUGGGACUGAGACACGGCCCAGACUCCUACGGGAGGCAGCAGUAGGGAAUUUUCCGCAAUGGGCGAAAGCCUGACGGAGCAAUACCGCGUGAGGGAUGACGGCCUGUGGGUUGUAAACCUCUUUUCUCAAGGAAGAAGCUCUGACGGUACUUGAGGAAUAAGCAUCGGCUAACUCUGUGCCAGCAGCCGCGGUAAUACAGAGGAUGCAAGCGUUAUCCGGAAUCACUGGGCAUAAAGCGUCUGUAGGUGGUUUAUUAAGUCUGCUGUUAAAGACUGGGGCUCAACCCCAGAAAAGCAGUGGAAACUGCUAGACUUGAGUAUGGUAGAGGUAGAGGGAAUUCCUAGUGUAGCGGUGAAAUGCGUAGAUAUUAGGAAGAACACCAAUGGCGAAGGCACUCUACUGGGCCAUAACUGACACUGAGAGACGACAGCUAGGGGAGCAAAUGGGAUUAGAUACCCCAGUAGUCCUAGCCGUAAACGAUGGAUACUAGAUGUUGCACGUUUACCCGUGCAGUAUCGUAAGCUA